UGACCAUCCUUCGGGAUUAAGGCCAGACGGACAGCCGGGUCAACUGCCGA
rnacentral:sRNA from 23 species